GCCAAGGUAGCUCAGUUGGCAGAGCGGCGGUAUCGUAAACCGCAGGUUGUGGGUUCGAUCCCCACCCUUGGCU
rnacentral:tRNA from 1 species